rnacentral:rRNA from 1 species
GCGUGGGAACAUACCCUUCACUGCGGAAUAGCCUCUGGAAACGGAGAGUAAUACCGCAUACGCCUUCGGGAAGAUUAUCGUGAGGAUUGCCGCGUUGGAUUAGGUAGUUGGUGGGUAAGCGGCCUACCAAGCCGACGAUCCAUAGCUGGUUUGAGAGGAUGAUCAGCCACACUGGGACUGAGACACGGCCCAGACUCCUACGGGAGGCAGCAGUGGGGAAUCUUAGACAAUGGGGGAAACCCUGAUCUAGCCAUGCCGCGUGUGUGAUGAAGGCCUUAGGGUCGUAAAGCACUUUCGCCU